rnacentral:piRNA from 1 species
UGAAAAAUGCUUGAUGUUGAUAUUGAACAU